AUUGAACGCUGGCGGAAUGCUUUACACAUGCAAGUCGAACGGCAGCACGGGGGCAACCCUGGUGGCGAGUGGCGAACGGGUGAGUAAUACAUCGGAACGUGCCCAGUCGUGGGGGAUAACGUAGCGAAAGCUACGCUAAUACCGCAUACGAUCUACGGAUGAAAGCGGGGGAUCGCAAGACCUCGCGCGAUUGGAGCGGCCGAUGGCAGAUUAGGUAGUUGGUGGGGUAAAGGCUCACCAAGCCUUCGAUCUGUAGCUGGUCUGAGAGGACGACCAGCCACACUGGGACUGAGACACGGCCCAGACUCCUACGGGAGGCAGCAGUGGGGAAUUUUGGACAAUGGGCGAAAGCCUGAUCCAGCCAUUCCGCGUGCAGGAUGAAGGCCCUCGGGUUGUAAACUGCUUUUGUACGGAACGAAACGGCCUUUUCUAAUACAGAGGGCUAAUGACGGUACCGUAAGAAUAAGCACCGGCUAACUACGUGCCAGCAGCCGCGGUAAAGUCG
rnacentral:rRNA from 1 species